ACCCGCUGAACUUAAGCAUAUCAAUAAGCGGAGGAAAAGAAACCAACAGGGAUUGCCCUAGUAACGGCGAGUGAAGCGGCAACAGCUCAAAUUUGAAAUCUGGCGUCUUUGGCGUCCGAGUUGUAAUUUGCGGAGGGCGCUUUGGCAUUGGCAGCGGUCCAAGUUCCUUGGAACAGGACGUCACAGAGGGUGAGAAUCCCGUACGUGGUCGCUAGCCUUUACCGUGUAAAGCCCCUUCGACGAGUCGAGUUGUUUGGGAAUGCAGCUCUAAAUGGGAGGUAAAUUUCUUCUAAAGCUAAAUACUGGCCAGAGACCGAUAGCGCACAAGUAGAGUGAUCGAAAGAUGAAAAGCACUUUGGAAAGAGAGUUAAAAAGCACGUGAAAUUGUUGAAAGGGAAGCGCUUGCAGCCAGACUUGCCUGUAGUUGCUCAUCCGGGUUUUUACCCGGUGCACUCUUCUAUAGGCAGGCCAGCAUCAGUUUGGGCGGUUGGAUAAAGGUCUCUGUCAUGUACCUCUCUUCGGGGAGAACUUAUAGGGGAGACGACAUGCAACCAGCCCGGACUGAGGUCCGCGCAUCUGCUAGGAUGCUGGCGUAAUGGCUGU
rnacentral:rRNA from 1 species